UUUGGCGACCACGAAUGCCACGUUCUAAUAUGUCCGCCCCAAAACUUACUCCACCCACUAAUUUACUAUUCCCGUUGAAGAUGUGUAUUGCGUUGGUUGAGGAGCCGUGGAAGUCAGAUGGGGGGAGGAGAAUUUAGUUUCGGAAUUGGAACGUUGAGUGGAGAUUCCUUGGCGAGGGUGAGGUCUGGAUAAAAUUCCUUCCCUAUGAAGAGCGCCGGAAGAGGAGACUCUCGGCCAGGCGCCAUCCCUGUCGUGUACACCUACUCUCUGAUGAUCAUCCAUCGCCUUUGACUGAUCUCUCGCGCUGACUGUGUCCUGGGAGGCUGUGUUUUGGCAGUGGGGUUGGACCUGUGUUGAUAUGGUGGACAGGAGCGGAUCUACGCCGCAGACCUGCGUAGGUCCCCUCUCUCACCUCCCACU
rnacentral:lncRNA from 1 species